GAUGAACGCUGGCGGCGUGCCUAAUACAUGCAAGUCGAGCGAACGGACGAGAAGCUUGCUUCUCUGAUGUUAGCGGCGGACGGGUGAGUAACACGUGGAUAACCUACCUAUAAGACUGGGAUAACUUCGGGAAACCGGAGCUAAUACCGGAUAAUAUUUUGAACCGCAUGGUUCAAAAGUGAAAGACGGCCUUGCUGUCACUUAUAGAUGGAUCCGCGCUGCAUUAGCUAGUUGUUAAGGUAACGGCUUACCAAGGCAACGAUGCAUAGCCGACCUGAGAGGGUGAUCGGCCACACUGGAACUGAGACACGGUCCAGACUCCUACGGGAGGCAGCAGUAGGGAAUCUUCCGCAAUGGGCGAAAGCCUGACGGAGCAACGCCGCGUGAGUGAUGAAGGUCUUCGGAUCGUAAAACUCUGUUAUUAGGGAAGAACAUAUGUGUAAGUAACUGUGCACAUCUUGACGGUACCUAAUCAGAAAGCCACGGCUAACUACGUG
rnacentral:rRNA from 1 species